rnacentral:piRNA from 1 species
UGGGAACUUCGCAAAGAUCAAAGGAGAAA